UGUCAAUCAGGUGGCGAUCCAAAUGUUCGCCCACUUCUCCACCGUUUUCUUUCUCUCUGACUCCAUCAGAAGCACAUGACACAUCCGUGGAUCAUGGGAGAGAGAAGCAGGUUUGCUCUCCUUUAUCUCUCUGCUGGGGGAAAGAAAAAGACUCUCAGCUGUAUAAUCAUCUUCCUAUAAAAUAAAUUACUUUAUCUGUCUUAAUACUGUCACUCUUCAGUCCUCCAGUGAUCUACUUCUUCCAUCUGUGUGCAUAACUGAAAUCUUCUCUCCACCUACUCUAUGUACUUCCAAGUGUCAAAAUCCAGCCUCAAUCAUUGCUGUCAUCAGUCUCUCGUUCUUGAUGGGAUAGUGGAUGAAACAUCACUGUUCCUCAGACCUCUAUGGGUAAUUUCUGUGCUUGCUUUGCAGAGCUGAGGUAAGCUAUCAGAAAUGUGACCUAAAAGAGUUUUGUUUGGUUUGGUUUUUUGUCAGCUGAAGUUUUCCACUUUCUGCUCCUGAAGCAAGUGGGUAUUUUUGUUGCUUCCUGGGUCUUGUUUCCAUCAUGACUCUUGCUGCAUAAUUUAAGGAGAUAACCACAUUACCCAAAUCCUAUGAAAGUUGACAUACUGCUUCGUAUUGAGUAAUUCUGCAUGACUCACACUUUGUUCUCUGAUAUAAUUCUUACGCUCGUUUGCAGAAUAUUGUUGAGACAAUUGAGCUUGCUUACUGAAAUCACCAUCUUUUGUAGCGAGACAGUACAACCGCUUUCCUCUUUCACAAAGCCAUUCCAAGAACAAUGGGCCGACCCAGAAAUAACAACCAUUUGUUUUGCUUAGAAUAUGGAUUCUGCUUUGCUAAAUGAAAUAACGGCAGGGAAAAGAAAGAAACCUUCUUAGAAGCCGUGCAUCUUCCCAGAUAAAUGUGGCAACGCGCCCCUCCUGCUGAGCCGUGACCUACUUUGCUCACAAAAUGCUCUCACUACCUUCCCCCAAACGCGAGGCUGUUGAAGCCCCAGGAAUUCUUCACCUUGGGUGCGAAACCGUGAAGCGUCAGUCACCACCGAAGGAUCCUCAACGGUUUCCCUGUCUGGCGGCACUGCGCUGCUUAUCGCAUCCUCUGCGAAUGCCUCCCUUCUCAUCGCGUUGCUGUUGGGAUAAGUUUUUAUCUCUGCUCCAGUGUACACCGCGCGAGUUCAGAGCUGGGUGGAUUUUGCCAUCUUGUGAGAGGUUUUGGUACUUUUUUCUGGACUGGGUUUAUUUUUGGGUUAGCUUUAGAUAAAAAAAAUAUAUAUAUUUUAAUUCCUUCAUAUUUUUUAUGACUGAAAAGGAAUCCUUUUCCUCUAGCUAAUAUAUUAUGUGCAUCAGAACUUGGUAGUGUGCCUGUUCACAGAGAAACAGGAGUUGAGAUCGAGCAUCAACAGCUGUGGGAAUGACCUACACCAUAUGGGACAUAUGACAAUUACCCAGUCUGUGUUACAUAAGGAAUAAAAUCAAGUUGCUUUGCUAAAGCAUGGAAGGAGAGAGAACUAGAACAUGAUGACAAAUGACUGCUCCUGAUGAUAAAGCUACAACUGGGUACCUUUCAGGAUGACACACCUGCAUCAAACAACUCUUAAUGUCAUGCAAAAGGCUGGAUGUGAUCACCUGUGAUACUCAGGAGGCUGGAUCACAGCUCCUUCCCUCUGCCAGGGGAAGUCUUUGAACCAUCUCAUCUCAUCUUAUGUCUGGCAUUUGCUGAUAUUGUGUAAUGGGGAGCUUUAGUGCCUUCCAUGACAGCAGGGCCAGGAGGUGAUUCCUUGUGCUGCUCUGGGGCCCACAGGGCUCAGCAAGGAUCCUGGCACUGGGCUGCAGCACCGACCCCAGAACUGCCACUGGAGUUCCCCAGCCACUACUGAGUGACAAUGGAGUCAUUGGUUUCACAGAGGCUGCUGUAAGUACAGGGAAGCGAAUGAAACCCUCAUUUCUAUAAUGUGUUUCAGACCUCCUUGUCUCUCCCCUAAAUUCUGAUGCCAUCUAGUCCGAGUGAAAUGAAUGGUGUCACAAAGCUUGGGCUUAGCUGAAAGAUGGAAAUAAUGCGUGUGCAUGCGUGUGUCUGAAAUGCCUCUCAAAACGCCACACGGCCACUUUUCUGCUGUGCAAUUUUCAUUCUAUUGAUAUAUAUAUAUUUUUUACAUACAGUCACGUAAUUGCAAACUGUACCCAUUUACACCUUCCAGAAGGCAGUAACUUCAGGAGUGAGCGCGGGGUUAUUU
rnacentral:lncRNA from 1 species